rnacentral:rRNA from 1 species
UGCAAUUUCUGUAUGUAGUGGAAUUUGUUAUCGGCUAGAGGGAGUUAUGGGUAUGAAACCCAUUUGAGCGAGAAUAGUACUAGGAUGGGUGACCUCCUAGGAAGUCCUCGUGAAAGGGUUU